GGACUACUCGGGUAUCUAAUCCUGUUCGCUCCCCACGCUUUCGCUCCUCAGCGUCAGUUUUGGCCCAGAGACCCGCCUUCGCCACCGGUGUUCCUCCUGAUAUCUGCGCAUUUCACCGCUACACCAGGAAUUCCAGUCUCCCCUGCCAUACUCUAGUUUGCCCGUAUCGAAUGCAGGCCCAGGGUUGAGCCCUGGGUUUUCACAUCCGACGCGACAAACCGCCUACGAGCUCUUUACGCCCAAUAAAUCCGGACAACGCUUGCACCCUACGUAUUACCGCGGCUGCUGGCAC
rnacentral:rRNA from 1 species